UGCGUAGGCGGAAUAAUAAGUCAGUGGUGAAAGCCUGCGGCUCAACCGUAGAAAUGCCAUUGAUACUGUUAUUCUUGAGUAUAGUUGAGGUGGGCGGAAUGUGUAAUGUAGCGGUGAAAUGCAUAGAUAUUACACAGAACACCAAUUGCGAAGGCAGCUCACUAAACUGUCACUGACGCUGAGGCACGAAAGCGUGGGGAGCAAACAGGAUUAGAUACCCUGGUAGUCC
rnacentral:rRNA from 1 species